CCCAAAUUUAGCUUAACAAUAACCAAGCCGCAAGGAGAGUAUAAGCUUACAUUGCUGCCUUUCCAGACUUGGUAAGUCCUGAGCCGAUCCGUCCCAUCGUCGGAGACGGCAUCUCCGGCUACUGGAUCCGGGGUCCGAGGUGGAGGAGGUUGGACUCCAUAAGUCUCUCUCAUCCCCUCCCUUUUCUUCUCCUCUCUCUUUCUGAAAAAAGUACUCUUUACACUCUUUUUCUCUCCCUAAAAUGCAAAAGAAGCAAUCAAACGCAGCGAGAGAGAGAGAGAGAGAGAGAGAG
rnacentral:misc_RNA from 1 species